CCCAAAUAUGGGGAGCAGUCCCUCCUCUGGGCUAGGGACUUUGUUUCCUCCAUUGUCAUCACUGACUGUGAGCAGACUCUAGUCUAUGCAGACUAAUGAGGAGUUAUCAAAAUGAGCUCCAAACUCCGGAUUUGAGUUAAGGAUCAUAAAUUAACACAGAGAAAUAUGACUUUAGCAAUAAGUGACUGUUUGAAGCCCAAGUUGCCUUAAAACACGGAAUUUCAGUCUUUCAGCUCCUCUGCUAAUCUAGUGACUAAGAACAGGAUCUCACUGGAGCUCAAAGAUGUGGGGCACUGGGAAUACUCUGGGUCUGUCUGCUCACGGCUGAUUGCCUGAUCCCAGUUUUAUUAUACAGCUUAAAUACAGACCAGAAGAGGAGUUUGGGGCUUGACACCUGACAUCUUAACACCAGUUCCUGUUUCUUGAGGAAGGAAGAGGUAAAAUAAAUCAGCAUUUACUGUGUCCUUCUCCAUCCCCGGAAGUCUUCAUGAAGACCCUCUCAGCUUCUACUUGAACGUGAAUAUGAGCAACUGAUCAUCUGUUCUGCAGUCAGCCCCUGGCCUGAUUCUGACUCAUGGUAUUGACCUUCUCCAUCAUCACCUUCCACAAAUUUGAUUCCUAUCUAUUCUGCCUGGAAUGGUUCACGAGUAUAGUCACCAUUUAUGUUCCUGACGAAAGCAGGUGAAGGCAUUCGUGGAGAGAGGCGAUUUCCAUGCGUGCAGCAAAGUGUGUGCUGAGAUGAUGAGUCGCUGGAGACCGGGGUGGACUCUUCAGACCCAGGAUAGGCCUCUGGCAGGCACUCUAUCAGGCACUCCAAGCUGUGAAGUGACUCAGGGAGAGAAGGAAGAGAUUUCAGAGAAUGAACACAUACAGAGAGAGAGGCAAGAGAUGCUGAGUGAGGAUGUCUUGCGUACUGAUAUCCUGAGGAAAGUGGGAAAAUUGGACCCUGGCCUGCUCUGCCAAUGCCGUGAAGCAGUCCGCACCAGGGGCUCCCUUGUGCCUGCGUAGCCUUUCCCAGGGUGUGCUCAAAUCCUGUGGCCACUAGGUGUCCUAGGUCACAAUGGAGGACCCUGUGUCAUCUGCCUGGUGGACUGGAUCUCUGCCAUUGGCUGAGUCUUGUCACCAGGCCCAUCAUAAGCUCUGCCCACUCUUCCGGUGGGGAGACUCUCUCCAUGGUGAUGGCAAAGAAACCUUAGUCCCGCCCACCUGGCCUUGACUUCACCUACCUGGCCUGCUGACCCUCACUCAGACCUCUGUGUCGAUCAAAAUGAAUGUUCACCAGUUGCCCGGUGUCAGCAUCUGGUAUAAAGGAUUCGGGACCUUGCCUGAGGCAGAAGGCAGCCUAGGUCUGCGGGUACCUGGAAGUCUAGUGACUUGUGACGCUGCUGCCAGUGAGAAAUGGUGACUCCCAUACUCACAUAUCCCCUGGUGGCAGAAUGAUAGUGAUGGGUGGAGAAACAUGGUUCCGGAGCACACGUUCAGUCGGGCACCGGCCAAAUGCCACGGCCAGGAGUGGACGUUGUGGAGCUGCAUGGCGAGCCAGUGAAGGGCCCAAGGAUUUCUCCAAUGAGGCAAAAUGCAGAUCAAGCCAAGGAACAUAAAGAUAAAGCAGCUGAAGAAAUUAAAAAGGUUACUCAAGAACAUAGUUAAAAAUUUAAUAAGCUGCAAGAAACCAUAGAGAGACUGCAAUCAGAGAUUCAGAAGAUUAACAAUAAAAUUACAGAGUUAGAAAACUCAAUAGAAAGUAAGAAGAGCACAACUGAGGAAUUGGAAGGCAGAAUUACUGAGAUUGAAGGUGAAACUCUUGGGACUAAUAUAUUUGAAGAGAAAGCAGAUAAAAGAAAUUUAAAUGAAGAAAUCCAAAGAAUCAUAUGGGACUUUAUCAAGAGAAAUAACUAUGAGUGAUUUCAGUACCAGAACAGGGAGGGCUAACAGAAAAUACAAAGGGAACUGUUGAAGAUUUGUUGGCAGAAAACUUCCAUGAUAUCAUGAAAGAUGCUCAUCGAAUUCCACAUAAGGUAGAUCUCAAAAGAAAGUGACCGAGACACAUAAUAAUCAAACUUGCCAAAAUCAAAUAUAAAGAGAAUUUUAAGAGAGGCUAGGGAUAAAGGAAGUCACCAACAAAGGAGAGUAAAUAAUAAAAAACUUGGACUACUCAGCAGAAAUCAUGCAGGCAAGAAGGCAAAGGGAUGACUUACACAAAAUAUUGAAGGAAAAAAAUUGCCAGCCAGGAAUCAAACCAUAACCCUGGCCCUCUGGCCUUCGGGCCCUCUGGCCUUAGCCCUCUAACUCUAGCCCCUAAGCCCUGAGCCCCAAAGCCCCUAAGACCCUAAGCCCUUAGGUCCUAACCCCCAAGGCCCUAAACCCUAACCCUAACCCAAACCCUAACCCCUAUAGCCUAAACUCUACAACCUAAACACCUACACCCCAAAACACUACACAUCAAAACCCUACACACUAAACCCUAUACUCUAAGCCUCAAACCCUAAACCCAAACCUCAAAUUCCAAACCCUAAACCUAACCGUAAACCCUAAACCCUAACACCUAACCCUAACCCCUAACCACCCUAACCCUAAUGACCCUAACCCUAACCCUCGAACCCUAACCCUCUAACGCUAACAUGAAACCCUAAUCCGAAACCCUAACCCUCUAACUCUAACCUCUAACCCUCUAACCCUAGCCCUAAUCCUAACCCCAACCUCCAAACCUAACCCCAAACCCUAAACCUCAAAUCCCUAGCCCUAAACCUAAGAAUGAGCCUAAGCCUAACCCUAUCACUUAACUCUAAACCCUAAACCAUAACA